CUUCAGGCACAUAAAUAUUUUACAGCUGGAUUUGUGUUGAAUGGAGUAAAAAUUGUUAAUGAUUUCCUGAUUUCCAUAUUAUUGUAGGAAAGGUGAAGCAUUUCCAAAAAGCUAAUGCUAAACGACUAAAUGCUUGGGUGGGGUGAUAGCCAGUUCUGAUGACAUAGCAAAUGCACAUUGUAUGCAUAUGGCCGGUAAUAGUAAAGUAUGUCCAGGGCAAGACAGAUGAAGAAGAACCCAAUGCAUGUACAUAUGUUACAGCUACAUGGUUUGGAGAUAGCAACAUAUGCAUUCUCUGAUGAAAACCUAAUGAGUUUUGAAACUGUUCGGUCAGAGUGCUUGUUGCGCUCACUAAACGAACUGAAAUAUGAGAUGGCUUUGGCAUUGUGUUGCAGCGAUAUGAAAAUGGUUAUUCAUUUUUAAUUAUAAUGUACUUCUUCAUCAUGAGUAAUUAUGUAUUGGUCUUUUAAAUGUGUAUUUAUUUUUGUAAUUAGUAUCAACUUGUAAUGAUAAUAUACAUUUAUCGUUUAA